rnacentral:rRNA from 2 species
AGGCAGCAGUGGGGAAUAUUGGACAAUGGGCGCAAGCCUGAUCCAGCCAUGCCGCGUGUGUGAAGAAGGCCUUAUGGUUGUAAAGCACUUUAAGCGAGGAGGAGGCUACUUUAGAUAAUACCUAGAGAUAGUGGACGUUACUCGCAGAAUAAGCACCGGCUAACUCUGUGCCAGCAGCCGCGG